rnacentral:rRNA from 1 species
UACGUAGGGUGCAAGCGUUGUUCGGAAUUAUUGGGCGUAAAGGGCGCGUAGGCGGUGCGGUAAGUCACCAUGUGAAAACUCUGGGCUCAACUCAGAGCCUGCAGGCGAAACUAGCCGUGCUUGGAGUGGUGGGAGAGGGUGACUGUGGAAUUCCCGGUGGUAGGCGGAUGAAUGCGUAGAUAUCGGGAGGAACACCUGUGGCGAAAGCGGCGCACUGGACCACAACUGACGCUGAGGCGCGAAAGCUAGGGGAGCAAACAGG